UAAAAAAAUGGAUUAGUUGAGUAAAAAUUUCUCAAACUCAAUCCCCUUAAUAAAAAUGACAAAUCAUUUUGGCUUCUGAACUACAAAAUAAUUUUGAUAAGCUUAUACAUUGAUUUAUACAUAAAUUAAAAGUGAAUUUACAUAUGUUCCUUACAUCCCAAUCAUUCAUCUUCUCCUUUCAGAUAUACUAAAGAACUCUUAUCUUCAUCUUCAUUUUCAGUUAUAAUAACUAUUAUCUUCAUUUUCCUAUUCCUUAUAAAACCGAAGAACAGUCUAUGCUUCUUCCUACUAAAGAACACUCUUUACAUAUCUCCUCCUUCCUACAUGUGCCUGUUUCUCUUUAUAGUUUCGGGAUACUGUAACACCUCUAGUUUCGAGUAGAAUUUGUUUUCAUUUGGAUCAAUGUGACACUGCAGAAAGAAACAUAUAUUUAUAGCGCAACAAAUAAAUUUUACAAAAUAAUAAUCAAGGUUUUAGGAAUCAUACUAAUGAUAAUCUAUCCUACAGAGCUAAAGUUUUAGGAGUAUAAAGUAAGAUGUUCACAUCAGUUAAAGAUAGCUUUUACGGAUAAACAUAGUUAUUGCAAAUAAUGUGAUCAAGGUCUUGAAAACAUGUAAACAAAUCAAAUUAAACAAAUAUCCUACUAAUGGAGGACAACAUAUCACAAGCCAAAGAAAUCAUAUAACAAAAUUACAGUUGCACUUGCACCAUACAGUGUUGACAAAUAGCAGCUAUAGUGGCACUAUGGAUAAAUACAAACUUAAUGCAUGGAAAUAACUAGUUAGAAAAUAGACCAAACAAGAUUAGAAAUUACACCAAAGAAAUAAUUAGAUAGUUGCAAAUGGUCUGCAACAAUGAUAUUGAAACUGUUACCCACACAAAUUUAGCUUACCACCUUAUACCCAUAUCCGUACUUGGAGUUGAAAUUCUCUUGUUUGUCUUUUAUCCUUCUUAUGGAGUUGGAAUUUGAGGUAAGACAAAAGAGAUUUUAGUAUACUUGAAAGGAGAAGAUGAAUGAAUGUGAUGUAAGGAACAUAUGUAAAUUCAAUUUCAGUUAAUAUAUAAAUCAAUGUAUAACUGGAUCAUAAUUGUGGUGUGGUUUAGAUGGCAAAAUGCUUUUUUCUUUUCUUUGAGUGGGUGGGUUUGAUUCCCACUGCCUUCAAAUAUUUU
rnacentral:lncRNA from 1 species